rnacentral:rRNA from 1 species
UGAGCAAAGUGGUGUACUUAUCGUCUGUGUGCGCUGAGAGUCUUGAUUGAACAUUCUAAACCGUCGUAUUUUGUUGCCCGUCGUCUCACGACGAUGGUGUCUUGUGCGUGCGGGUUGGGAUGUUUCGAUUAAGUAUUUUCGGUGUGAAAGUCGACCACCUAUCCGACCCGUCUUGAAACACGGACCAAGGAGUCUAGCGUAUGUGCGAGUCAUUGGGUGGUAAACCUAUUGGCGUAACGAAAGUAAAGGUCGUUUCUUGCGGCUGAUAUGGGAUCCGUACGGUUUCGAUCGUGCGGCGCACCAUAGCCCUGUCUCGAAGGCUUGCCUUGAGAUGGAGGUAGAGCGCAUGCGCUAGGACCCGAAAGAUGGUGAACUAUACGUGAGCAGGAUGAAGCCGGAGGAAACUCUGGUGGAAGUCCGUAACGGUUCUGACGUGCAAAU